GUCCUCAUGUUCCUGCUCACCUUCUGUGGCUGCAUUGGGUCCCUCCGCGAGAACAUCUGCCUCCUGCAGACGUUCUCCCUCUGCCUCACCGCCGUGUUCCUGCUGCAGCUGGCCGCUGGGAUCCUGGGCUUCGUCUUCUCAGACAAGGCUCGAGGGAAAGUGAGUGAGAUCAUCAACAAUGCCAUUGUGCACUACCGAGAUGACUUGGAUCUGCAGAACCUCAUUGAUUUUGGCCAGAAAAAGGUAUGGGUCAGCCAGUGGUCUGGGGGACUGUGGGUAAAAGUGAAUGUCAUCUCAAGAGAUGCCUCACCCUCUAUGCCUGUGGAGCUCUUCAUUACCUGCCAAGUAAUGGCUUCUGGGAAGGGGUUUGGCAAAAAAGCACACGUAGCAGAGUGCUUUAAACAUACUUUUAAAGACACAGAACAGUAUAUAUAGUAAUCUACUGAGUUAUAAGUGGUUACCUACAGGGGAUGAGGAACUGGGC
rnacentral:sRNA from 1 species